CACGGGUGAGUAACACGUGGGUAAUCUGCCUGGAAGUCCGGGACAACCUGCCGAAAGGCUGGCUAAUACCGGAUAAGCCCACAGGGUCUUCGGACCCCGAGGGAGAAGAUGGCCUCUGCAUGCAAGCUAUCACUUCCAGAUGAGCCCGCGACCCAUCAGCUAGUUGGCGGGGUAAUGGCCCACCAAGGCAACGACGGGUAGCUGGUCUGAGAGGACGAUCAGCCACACUGGAACUGAGACACGGUCCAGACUCCUACGGGAGGCAGCAGUGGGGAAUUUUGCGCAAUGGGCGAAAGCCUGACGCAGCAACGCCGCGUGUGUGAUGAAGGUCUUCGGAUCGUAAAGCACUUUCGACUGGGACGAAAACCCGCUGGCUAACAUCCAGCGGUCUGACGGUACCGGGAGAAGAAGCACCGGCUAACUCUGUGCCAGCAGCCGCGGUAAUACAGAGGGUGCAAGCGUUGUUCGGAAUUAUUGGGCGUAAAGCGCGUGUAGGCGGCUUUGCAAGUCGGGUGUGAAAGCCCUCGGCUCAACCGAGGAAGUGCGCCCGAAACUGCAUGGCUCGAGUCCCGGAGAGGAUGGCGGAAUUCCCGAAGUAGAGGUGAAAUUCGUAGACAUCGGGAGGAACACCGGUGGCGAAGGCGGCCAUCUGGACGGACACUGACGCUGAGACGCGAAAGCGUGGGUAGCAAACAGGAUUAGAUACCCUGGUAGUCCACGCCGUAAACGAUGAGAACUAGGUGUCGCGGGUGUUGACCCCCGCGGUGCCGUAGCUAACGCAUUAAGUUCUCCGCCUGGGAAGUA
rnacentral:rRNA from 1 species